GGAAGACUUAAGAUGGCGGCGUUUGCACGGAGUGCAAUCACUGCGUCCUUACGGGGGUUGCAAGGCGUCCGAAGUAUGAGUCCACUAACAAAAGUCCAGAAACUCGCCAGUUAAUAGUAUUGUGUCUCUUCAAAAUAUCGGAGAAUAAUUUCUUUCUCGCUGAUCGCCUAACUUCUACUGACGAAGCUUGGAAGUUGCAGAAGGUUGGAGUGCAAUGGCGCGAUCUCGGCUGACUGCAACCUCCACCUCCUGGAUUCAAGCUAUUCUCCUGCCUCAGCCUGCCGAGUAGCUGGGAUUACAGGCAUGUGCCACCGCACCCAGCUAAUUUUGUAUUUUUUAGUAGAGAUGGGGUUUCUCCAUGUUGGUCAGGCUGGUCUUGAACUCCUGACCUCAGGUGAUCCGCCCACCUCAGCCUCCCAAAGUGCUGGGAUUACAGGCGUGAGCCACCGCGCCCGGCCAGAACAUUAGUUUUAAACUUCCUAACCCUUGGGAGAAGGCAAAACACUUGAUGAAAUCUACAUAAAGACUAAAACAUUUUACCAAUUUUGCAUUGUUUGUUUGAAAUUGCAUUGACGACUGCCAGACAUGAUGUAUUGAGUAAAAGGAACUUCGGUACACAGGCCUUUAGUGAUGUGGUGGUAAGAUGUAUGAUGGAGUUCGCUCUUGUUGCCCAGGCUGGAAUGCAAUGGCAUGACCUUGGCUCACUGCAACCUCUGCCUCCCCAGUUCAAGUGGUUCUCCUGCCUCAGCCUCCCGAGUAGCUGAGAUUACAGGUACUGGCUCCUGUAUCACCCAGCUCUGGAGUUGAAAGAGCUCUUCAUUCCUGAGUCUCCUGUACCACUGAGAAUAGAAAUACAAAAAAAAUUCUAAAACUUGUAUGGAACUACAAAAGACAUUAAAUAAUCAAAGUAAUCUUGAGCAACAAGGACACAGCUGGAGGCAUCACUCUACCUGAUUUUGUAAUCCAUUAUCAAAAAACUGUGGUACCAGCAUAAAAACAGAUUCACUGACCAGUGGAACAGGAAAGCCCAGACAUAACUCAUACAUUUCCAUCCAAUUGAUUUUUGACAAAAGUGGCACACAGAAUGGGGAGAGGACAAAUAAAUAAAU
rnacentral:lncRNA from 1 species